ACGGGUAGCCGACCUGAGAGGGUGAUCGGCCACACUGGGACUGAGACACGGCCCAGACUCCUACGGGAGGCAGCAGUGGGGAAUAUUGCACAAUGGGCGCAAGCCUGAUGCAGCGACGCCGCGUGAGGGAUGACGGCCUUCGGGUUGUAAACCUCUUUCACCAGGGACGAAGCGUGAGUGACGGUACCUGGAGAAGAAGCACCGGCCAACUACGUGCCAGCAGCCGCGGUAAUACGUAGGGUGCGAGCGUUGUCCGGAAUUACUGGGCGUAAAGAGCUCGUAGGCGGUUUGUCGCGUCGUCUGUGAAAUUCUGCAACUCAAUUGCAGGCGUGCAGGCGAUACGGGCAGACUUGAGUACUACAGGGGAGACUGGAAUUCCUGGUGUAGCGGUGAAAUGCGCAGAUAUCAGGAGGAACACCGGUGGCGAAGGCGGGUCUCUGGGUAGUAACUGACGCUGAGGAGCGAAAGCGUGGGUAGCGA
rnacentral:rRNA from 1 species